UUUUUACGGAGAGUUUGAUCCUGGCUCAGGAUGAACGCUGGCGGCGUGCUUAACACAUGCAAGUCGAACGGUGAAGCCAAGCUUGCU
rnacentral:rRNA from 1 species